UGGGGAAUCUUGCGCAAUGGGCGAAAGCCUGACGCAGCGACGCCGCGUGAGCGAUGAAGGCCUUCGGGUUGUAAAGCUCUGUGGAGAGGAAAGAAUAAGGGCAAGCUAAUACCUUGUCUGAUGACGGUACCUCUUUAGCAAGCACCGGCUAACUCUGUGCCAGCAGCCGCGGUAAGACAGAGGGUGCAAACGUUGUUCGGAAUUACUGGGCGUAAAGCGCGUGUAGGUGGCUACGCAAGUCGGGUGUGAAAACCCACGGCUCAACCGUGGAAGUGCACUCGAAACUGCGCGGCUAGAGUCCUGGAGAGGAAGGUGGAAUACUUGGUGUAGAGGUGAAAUUCGUAGAUAUCAGGUAGAACACCGGUGGCGAAGGCGGCCUUCUGGACAGUGACUGACACUGAGACGCGAAAGCGUGGGGAGCAAACA
rnacentral:rRNA from 1 species